AUUGAACGCUGGCGGCAGGCCUAACACAUGCAAGUCGAACGAGUGGCGGACGGGUAAGUAAUGUCUGGGCAACUGCCUGAUGGAGGGGGAUAACUACUGGAAACGGUAGCUAAUACCGCAUACCAUCGGAUGUGCCCAGAUGGGAUUAUCUAGUAGGUGGGGUAACGGCUCACCUAGGCGACGAUCCCUCGCUGGUCAGAGAGGAUGACCAGCUACACUGGAAUUAGGAUCCGGUCCAGACUCCUACGGGAGGGAGCAGUGGUGAUUAUUGCAGAAGGGGCGCAAGCCUGAUGCAGACAUGCCGGGGGUUGGAAUGAGGUCAUCGGGAAGUAAAGUACGUUCAGCGGGGUGGCGUUACCCGAAGAAGAAGCUCCGGCUAGCACCGGGCCAGCAGCCGCGGUAAAAC
rnacentral:rRNA from 1 species